CAGAGCGUAGCUAAACGUAUAGCAUCUCCCUUACACAGAGAAGGCACCCGUGCAACCCGGGUCGCACUGA
rnacentral:tRNA from 1 species